CCCCCAGGGUGGGCUCCCAGUGCUGGAAUGUUGGAACUCGAGCUCUCCCAGCAGGAGCUCUCCGUACCCGGUAGGCCUUGGUGAGGACGCGGCGGCGCCGCCGGGGCUCGGCCUCGUCCUGGUCACUGCCCGGUUCAUCCCCCUCGUCGAUGUCGAAGUCCGAGUCCACCUCGUCCUCCGUGUCCGAGUGCUCCCCCCGGUACUCGUCAUCCCCGGAUUCCUGCGGGAAAACGGGGAUGGAUCAGCAUGGAGAGAUCGGAGAGAUCCCUCUGGGACUCGUCAUCCCCGGAUUCCUGCGGGAUAAGGGGGAUAGGAGCCCCAGAGAGGUGACAGGUGGCCCUGGCAGGGUGUGACACCACCCUGGAUGGGGUGCACCGGGAUGGCCGGGGACGUGGUGCUGCUCCUGUGGGGGACCUCUUGGGGACCGUCCCCCAUCACUUUCCCACGAGAACCGGUGUCCCCACGGGCGCAGUUUGGGGACAGCCCCCACUGUCCCCGUGGUGCCACCUCCACCCAGCCCCUCUCACUUCUCCCUUCCAGCCCAGACCCUGAUCCUCGCUGGCGCCCAGACCACCCAGCUCCUGCUGGAUCCCCCCUGGACGCCGGCGGUGCUGUGGGACGG